GGCAAGUUUUUAAUGGUUGAUUAUGCUGUUUGGCAACGGCUGUUUAAUCUUUUAUCCGUGGUGUGUGAUGGGAAACGGUUGUCCACGUGCCCGCACGCGUUGGGCUCACACGGGGUUGGGGUCGACGCCUCUCGGCCUUGCGUCUCCCGUGGGCCACCGGAACCCGAAUCUUUGGUUGGACUCCUCGUUGCGUGGGCAAACUAAGCGCUCGUCCAACAACAGCCACCUUUGCGUCUACGUGUCCGCGGUGGGCUUCCAGAUCGGAAGACCACCGAACCCGAUUCUUCUCCAUCGAUUCCGAUCCAUCUCUAUUCGGCUAGUCUUCUUGAUGGACCACGGCAAGCUUGCCGGCCAUCCACCGCCACCGGCACCGCAGCAGCAAGGGUUCCAGGGACUGGGUGAUCGUCCCCGUCGAACACAUCUCACCGAUCCGCCUCUGCCGGGCCCUCGGCAAGGCGUUAUGCUAACGAUCUGAACCAGGCAUCAUCCGGUCAGUGAUGGAGCUUCCCAAACCCUUAGGUCACAAGGACGCGAUCCUCAACGUGCUUUGCUUAGUACCAUAAGAAAUCGGGAGAAAGGCAGGCGGCGCUGCUGGAAAUUUGUGGCACCAUCUUCAAUUCAUGCUGUCAGGAAAUCUCCAACUGUGUUAGCACUCUUCUGAUCUGAGGAUUCAAGCCUUGCUGCGAGCAUAGCCAACUGACCUUUCACGCUCAG